rnacentral:rRNA from 1 species
UGUUGGCUCAGAAGCAGCCACCAUUUAAAGAGUGCGUAAUAGCUCACUGGUCGAGAGACGCUGCGCCGAAAAUGUCCGGGGCUCAAGCACGGAACCGAAGCUAUGGCAUUGCGCAAGCAAUGGGUAGGGGAGCGUUCUUAUGGGGAAGAAGCAUUACCGUAAGGAGAUGUGGACACAUAAGAAGUGAGAAUGCCGGUAUGAGUAUCGAAAAGAAAGGUGAGAAUCCUUUCCACCGAAAGCCCGAGGGUUCCUGAGCAACGAUCGUCGUCUCAGGGUAAGUCGGGACCUAAGCCGAGGCACAGACGCAUAGGCGAUGGACAACAGGUUGAAAUUCCUGUACCGGAUGGAGUCAUUUGAGCAAUGGAGUGACGCAGGAGGGCACAUGAUCGCGCGACUGGAAGAGCGCGUCCAAGUGCGUAUGUUGAAUCGGAGGCAAAUCCCCGAUUCUGAAAGCAGAGACAUGAUGGGGAGUUAUAAGCGAUUAUGACGAACUCAUGGAUCCCACACUGCCAAGAAAAACUUCUAGCGAGACGAAAUCCGCCCGUACCGUAAACCGACACAGGUAGGCGGGGAGAGAAUCCUAAGGUGCGCGGGAAAACCCUCGUUAAGGAACUCGGCAAAUUGCAUCCGUAACUUCGGGAGAAGGAUGGCCCUGAGUAGGCGAAGUGCAGAAACGCACGGAACAGAAAAGGGUGGCAGAAAAGAGGCCCAAGCAACUGUUUACCAAAAACACAGGUGCCUGCGAAAGCGAAAGCUGAAGUAUAGGUGCUGACGCCUGCCCGGUGCUGGAAGGUUAAGGAGAGAGGUUAGCGCAAGCGAAGCUUUGAACUGAAGCCCCAGUGAACGGCGGCCGUAACUAUAACGGUCCUAAGGUAGCGAAAUUCCUUGUCGGGUAAGUUCCGACCCGCAUGAAAGGCGUAAUGAUUUGGGCGCUGUCUCAACGAGGGGCCCGGUGAAAUUGAAAUACCUGUGAAGAUGCAGGUUACCCGCGACUGGACAGAAAGACCCCAUGGAGCUUUACUGCAGCUUGAGAUUGAAUCCCGGUGGCAGACGCACAGGAUAGGUGGGAGGCUUUGAGAUAGUGACUUUGGUUGCUAUGGAGCCGACGUUGGGAUACCACCCUUCUGUUGCUGGGAUUCUAACGCGAAGAUUAACAACCUUGCGGACCAUCUCAGGUAGGCGGUUUGACUGGGGCGGUCGCCUCCGAAAGAGUAACGGAGGCGCCCAAAGGUUCCCUCAGGCCGGACAGAAACCGGCCGAAGAGUGCAAAGGCAGAAGGGAGCUUGACUGCGAGACAGACAAGUCGAGCAGAGACGAAAGUCGGGCUUAGUGAUCCGGUGGUACUGCGUGGAAAGGCCAUCGCUCAACGGAUAAAAGCUACCCUGGGGAUAACAGGCUAAUCUCUCCCAAGAGUUCAUAUCGACGGGGAGGUUUGGCACCUCGAUGUCGGCUCAUCACAUCCUGGAGCUGGAGUAGGUUCCAAGGGUUGGGCUGUUCGCCCAUUAAAGUGGUACGCGAGCUGGGUUCAAAACGUCGUGAGACAGUUUGGUUCAUAUCCAUCGCGGGCGCAAGAAGUUUGAGGGAGGCUGCUCCUAGUACGAGAGGACCGGAGUGGACGGAUCAACGGUGUACCAGUUGUCACGCCAGUGGCACGGCUGGAAAGCCGCAUCCGGAAAGGAUAAACGCUGAAAGCAUCUAAGCGUGAAGCCCGUCCCAAGAUGAGACUUCUCAUCAGCAAUGAGUAAGACCCCUUAAAGACGAUGAGGUUGAUAGGCUGUGAGUGGAAGAGCCGCGAGGCUUGGAGCGACGCAGUACUAAUAGGUCGAGGUCUUAACUUA